rnacentral:rRNA from 1 species
AUUGAACGCUGGCGGCAGGCCUAACACAUGCAAGUCGAGCGGAUGAAGGGAGCUUGCUCCUGGAUUCAGCGGCGGACGGGUGAGUAAUGCCUAGGAAUCUGCCUGGUAGUGGGGGAUAACGUCCGGAAACGGGCGCUAAUACCGCAUACGUCCUGAGGGAGAAAGUGGGGGAUCUUCGGACCUCACGCUAUCAGAUGAGCCUAGGUCGGAUUAGCUAGUUGGUGGGGUAAAGGCCUACCAAGGCGACGAUCCGUAACUGGUCUGAGAGGAUGAUCAGUCACACUGGAACUGAGACACGUCCCAGACUCCUAGGGGAGGCAGCAGGGGGGAAUUUUGGACAAGGGGCGAAAGCCUGACCCAGCCAGGCCGGGUGUGGGAAGAGGGUCUCCGAUUGGUAAAGCACUUUAGGUGGGGAGAAAGGGAAGUAAGUAAUACCUUGCUGUUUUGACGUUACCAACAGAAUAAGCACCGGCUAACUUCGUG